rnacentral:rRNA from 1 species
GUUGAACGCUGACAGAAUGCUUAACACAUGCAAGUCGACUUGAACUUCGGUUUGGGUGGCGGACGGGUGAGUAACGCGUACAGAACUUGCCUCACAGCUAGGGACAACAUUUGGAAACGCAUGCUAAUACCUGCUAUUAUAAUUUUAGGGCAUCCUAGAAUUAUGAAAGCUAUAUGCGCUGUGAGAGAGCUUUGCGUCCCAUUAGCUAGUUGGAGAGGUACCGGCGCACCAAGGCGAUGAUGGGUAGCCGGCCUGAGAGGGUGAACGGCCACAAGGGGACUGAGAAACGGCCCUUACGCCUACGUGAGGCAGGAGUGGGGAAUAGUGGACAAUGGACCAAGAGUCUGAUGCAGCAAUUCUGUGUGUACGAUGAAGUUUUUCGGAAUGUAAAGUGCUUUCAGUUGGGAAGAAAAAAAUGACGGUACCAACAGAAGAAGUGACGGCUAACUACGUG